rnacentral:snRNA from 1 species
GGCUUAGUGCUCGCUACCAGAAUUGCAGCGAUGCAUGGGAGAUCAUCACGGCCCUGCAAAGGGAUGACAUGCAAAUUUGUGAAACAUUCCAUGUUUU